CUGAAUGCUGUCUCUAUCUGUCUGUCUGUGUGUGUGUGUGUGUGUCUCUCUCUCUCUCUCUCCCACAGAGGCUGCCUGGCCUGCUUGGUUUCGCUGUUGUUUUUCCACGUUCCCAGCAUCCACAAUAUUUUGCCUUUAACCAGUUACUCCAUUCUGGUCACGGGGAAAGAUCAUUUUAUUCAGACCCCACGAUUGUCCUCACGUACAUAUCGUGCUUCAUUUCCCCAAAUUUGAACAUUGAGGGAGGUGGAGAGAUUGGGCUCAUUGCUACUCUGAACGAAUAGCUAAUACUCCCUGAUUUAGCUCACACGUUAAGAACAAUCACUUCGGUGAACUACCGGAGUACGGCGCGGGUGAAAAUCUUCUGUUAUUAGAGAAAAAGAACAGAAGAGCUCCAAUUUCACAAAUCGACAGCUAUGAUCUAAAUCCGGCUUGCUUGUUUUCUUUUGCAAUGCAGGUGGGCUCACCAGGUUUUGACUGCUGUGCUCAAAAUACGUUCUUUCAGACUUGGAUUCUUGCAAUAAUUGUGCACGUAUUGUAUCCUCAGAUCUCGUAUUGGACCGUACCACUCUAUUCACGUGACAUGAUCCUAAAUAAACUAAAGUAAAGUUGAAAAGAGAGAGCGAGGGAGACACCGGUCGGAUACAUCGCUGAAUGUUGAUCGAUCUGGAAUAAUGCUGGGUCAUUUUAACGCCAGCGUGAAAACCUGUGAUACUGCAGCAGUGGAGCCCGCCUGUUCAGCAGUGUCUACCCGUUAAAUAUUCUUCUAUCUGCUCCAGAUCUUUCAAACAAAGCAGUUCAGGCUAUCCCCUCAAGCAUCUGAUUUGAAAUUCAGCACUUUUUCCAACAAAAACCUCAAAAACUAUGUGUGGAUCAAACUGCAGGACUACUUAAGACUGGCUCAGAAAUAACUGAAGAAAUUUUUACUACUGACAAAGCUGUCUUGUAACAAUGGAAAGCCUUUCGUGUUGACUACAUUAUCCAUCGCAAACUCUUUCUAAUCCCCAAUUUAUCUAUGUUAGUUGAUUAAUAUUAACAAUAGCUUGAUACUUCAUUGAUGGAGAUACAUUGUUGAACCAAUUCAUUUGCAGAAGUUAAUCCUAAAUUCAUAUUCAUGCUUUAUGAAGAACCCAUGCAUGAGGGAUUUUGAGCCUUUGUAUUCAAAAUGAAUUCCAAAUUUCAUAAAAUUUCAAUGCCUAUGCUGUUGCCAAGCAACCAAAAUGAAAACAUAUCAAAAUUUAACUCAACUAGUGAUGGGGAUCCAAAGCGUCUGGAGGAAAGUAUCUCUUCCUUUGUGGCACUGGUUAUCCUGCUGGCUUUAAUAUUCACCUUGCUAUCUAUGUCUCUUGCAACCUUUCAUUUCCAUAAAUGGAAACUGAAAAGCAAAAAAAUACUGAGAGCCGAGGAAGAAUACGAAAGGGACCAAGGGAAUUCCAAACUUCGUGACUCUACUUGAAUGGCCCUAAACUUCUGUAAUUGGAAAGCCUGGAAGCAGCUUUCAGCACCAGGGAUAUUUGAAGACAGACUUGUCUGUUUACAUGAACAUAUUUCUGACUCUAAACUCUUUUGAAAGCAAACCAUUUAGUCUUAAGCUUGCCUGCAUAGACAUAGUAUGGGUAACAAUUUUUACAACAGGAGGAAAGAAAACUGCAAAUACCAUAUACAUAAGUACUGACAGCUGGUAAGAUGAUAAAAUAUUUAUUGCAUUUACAUUGUUUUGUUGUGCUUAAAUUGUAAUGUUUGCAUGAAUGUAAAUUUAUAUUCCUUAUUUACUUGAUUCUAUACUGGACUGGACAUUUGUAAAGUCCAUAGCGUAGCUUAAGUUAUGCCAGAAUUAUUAUCAGUCUAACAUAGAAUGAUAUUUUCUAUUUUCACAAUACAAAUAUUUUCAAACACAUUUGAGAAAGGAUUACUUAAUACCUAUGACAUUUUCACAAAGAGGCUUAUUUUGCUUUCGAGGCAAUUUGCAGUUGAUUCUUCUUAUGCUUUGUCAUAAAUUAUUUUCAAUGAGAAAAACUGCAAUAUAAAAAUACUCCAUAAAUUUCUUUUGCUCUGUUUCAAAAUUUUUCUUAUGACCGCAUGGGAGAGGAAGGAAUAUAAAAUGAACAUAUAUAAGAAGAUAUGUAUACAUAUAUAUACUACAGUACUUUUGCACACAAUAUUGUUUAUAAAGAAAUAUUACUGAAUUGCUGUUUCUUCAAUUCUCUUAAUAGUACUCAGUAUUAUAAUUUCAAAGAAUAUAUGCUUCUUGCAAAUGCAAAGUAUUAGAUGAUAUCUAAUUUGAUGCAAGACAUAAUGUUCUUGUGUGAAUACUUUAUUGAAAGCUUAAGCAAUAAGGUUAAAUGAUAAUUCAAAUGGUGAAGUACAGUGGUUUCUAAUGCCCAGGUUUCAUUGGAAUCUUAUAUAAGAAAAAGAUGAAAUGGAAAAUAUGAAUGUACUUAACCUGAAAAAAAUUAAAUUGAUCUUACUUUGUUCUCUGUGAUUUCUUGUCAGGUGAUGGUAAGUGUUUUAAUUCUAGUAUUUUUAAAACAUUUUGUUGAAUAUAUAUCUUUCUGGAACAACUACAUAGAGAAUAGCGCACAGAUGUGGUAUACUAUUUAACCUAAGUGUAUUAUAUUUAAAAUAAAAUUG